rnacentral:tRNA from 4 species
AGGAUAAUAGUUAAAAUUUAUAACAUUUAAUUUGCUUUUAAAAAUUAUUAUUUAAUUUAUCUUA